AUUUAAUAAAGAAGUAUGGCGCUUUUGACUCCGUGGUUCCGUUAAAAGGUUUUAAUCCGGGUCAGUGCUUUUAUUAUUAAUAGGAACGAAAGCGAGCUGAUCCUGGAGUCCCUGCAAUCCUUCUCGAAACUCCUGAACAGUUUGCCAGGGUACAAAUUCAGUUCCUUUCAAGUUACCGGAGCAGUGAGGAUCAAGUUGCUAUUCAGUCAAGAGGAUCCACGUCUAAGGAGAUCCUCGAUCCAGUUAUUAGGAGAUCUGGCAACAUCCUUUGGCCAGGAGACCAAUUUGGAGGCAUUCAAGGAUCGAGUGAGAUCCAAGGGAACCUCAUCACUUUACUCUUGCAUCUAUGCGCUCCAGACGUGUAUAUUGUCAAGGCCUGUAAAAGUACAAUGCAGAAGGUUGGCCCUUAUCUGGAUUUUCCGGAGGUAUACCGCAUGAUCCAGGAGUGUUUGGGCGAUGACACCGACUUGAUGUUCACGGAUUUUAUUGGGAGUUAAUUAAACGCAUGGGAUUUAUGGAAUCAAAGAUAUCAAGGUUAUUUGGGGGUCAAAUCGAGGACGAGUUGGUUUAAAGGUGGCGUCUAAGGGCCAAUCCCGCCCUUGUCAUCGGUUUGUUCUACGCCGAACUACUACCCGAGAAUAAACCGAAAGUUUCACUGGAAACUGUCUGUGAUAAACUGAACAGACUGAUGCAAGACGAGUCAGAAGAAGUUAGG
rnacentral:lncRNA from 1 species